UCUCCGUUGGUGAACCAGCGGAGGGAUCAUUACAGAGUUGCAAAACUCCCAACCCUUGUGAACAUACCCGUUACAGUUGCUUCGGCGGGCAGCCCCAGGGCGGGGCUGCAGCCUCUUCUCACGAGGCGCCCGCCGGAGGUAUAUAACUCUUUGUAUUUGUUGGUCUCUCUGAGUAAAUUUAUAAUAAGUUAAAACUUUCAACAACGGAUCUCUUGGUUCCG
rnacentral:misc_RNA from 1 species